AUCUAGGAUGAUGGUAGUGGGAGGUUAAUUGAGCUUGACGAGAAUGUCUCUGAAAAGCGACGAGCUAUAGAUCCUUAGAAAUUCGUCAAGGAUGAGCCAGUAGUUAAUGUUCUACUUUUACUUUGUAGAUCAGAUAGAAUCUCUCAUCCUUCUAAAAGAUACAUGGGUGUACUAAAAGAGGAUGUAGAGGAAGUAUUUCUUAUGGGAGAUGGGGGUCAUGGUGAUGAUCCUAGUAGUUUUGAUGAGGUGAUAUUUGACAUCAAUUUCAAGAAAUGAUUAAAUAUAAUGAAAUUAGAAAUUGACUCAAUGUACUUAAACUAGGCAUAAUCCUUAGUAGAUUGAUCAGAAAAAAUUAUUUUCAUUGGAUGUAAAUAGACUAUAAAAGAAAAAUAGAUGCUGAUGGUAAGGUAGAGAUCUAUAAGGC
rnacentral:lncRNA from 1 species